rnacentral:rRNA from 1 species
GAGUGAACGCUGGCGGUCGGCCUACCCCAUGCAAGUCGACCGGCAGCACAGUAAGAGCUUGCUCUUACGGGUGGCGAGUGGCGGACGGGUGAGGAAUACAUCGGAAUCUACUUUUUCGUGGGGGAUAACGUAGGGAAACUUACGCUAAUACCGCAUACGACCUACGGGUGAAAGCAGGGGAUCUUCGGACCUUGCGCGAUUGAAUGAGCCGAUGUCGGAUUAGCUAGUUGGCGGGGUAAAGGCCCACCAAGGCGACGAUCCGUAGCUGGUCUGAGAGGAUGAUCAGCCACACUGGAACUGAGACACGGUCCAGACUCCUACGGGAGGCAGCAGUGGGGAAUAUUGGACAAUGGGCGCAAGCCUGAUCCAGCCAUACCGCGUGGGUGAAGAAGGCCUUCGGGUUGUAAAGCCCUUUUGUUGGGAAAGAAAAUCAGCAGGUUAAUACCCCGCUGUUCUGACGGUACCCAAAGAAUAAGCACCGGCUAACUUCGUG